rnacentral:rRNA from 1 species
UACGGAGGGUGCAAACGUUGCUCGGAAUCAUUGGGCGUAAAGCGCACGUAGGCGGCUCGUUAAGUCGGAUGUGAAAGCCCCGGGCUCAACUCGGGAAGUGCAUUCGAAACUGGCGAGCUUGAAUAUGGAAGAGGGUCGCGGAAUUCCCGGUGUAGGAGGUGAAAUUCGUAGAUAUCGGGAGGAACACCAGUGGCGAAGGCGGCGACCUGGGCCAAUAUUGACGCUGAGGUGCGAAAGCGUGGGAGCAA